rnacentral:rRNA from 1 species
AUUGAACGCUGGCGGCAGGCCUAACACAUGCAAGUCGAGCGGAUGAAGGGAGCUUGCUCCUGGAUUCAGCGGCGGACGGGUGAGUAAUGCCUAGGAAUCUGCCUGGUAGUGGGGGACAACGUUUCGAAAGGAACGCUAAUACCGCAUACGUCCUACGGGAGAAAGCAGGGGACCUUCGGGCCAUGCGCUAUCAGAUGAGCCUAGGUCGGAUUAGCUAGUUGGUGAGGUAAUGGCUCACCAAGGCGACGAUCCGUAACUGGUCUGAGAGGAUGAUCAGUCACACUGGAACUGAGACACGGUCAAGACUCCUACGGGAGGCAGCAGUGGGGAAUAUUGGACAAUGGGCGAAAGCCUGAUCCAGCCAUGCCGCGUGUGUGAAGAAGGUCUUCGGAUUGUAAAGCACUUUAAGUUGGGAGGAAGGGUUGUAGAUUAAUACUCUGCAAUUUUGACGUUACCGACAGAAUAAGCACCGGCUAACUCUGUGCCAGCAGCCGCCGUAAAAC